AGAGUUUGAUCCUGGCUCAGGAUGAACGCUGGCGGCGUGUUUAACACAUGCAAGUCGAACGAAGCAAUCUAACGGAAGUUUUCGGAUGGAAGCUAGAUUGACUGAGUGGCGGACGGGUGAGUAACGCGUGGGUAACCUGCCUCACACUGGGGGACAACAGUUAGAAAUGACUGCUAAUACCGCAUAAGCGCACGGGACCGCAUGGUCCAGUGUGAAAAACUUCGGUGGUGUGAGAUGGACCCGCGUUUGAUUAGCUAGUUGGUGGGGUAACGGCCUACCAAGGCGACGAUCAAUAGCCGACCUGAGAGGGUGACCGGCCACAUUGGGACUGAGACACGGCCCAAACUCCUACGGGAGGCAGCAGUGGGGAAUAUUGCACAAUGGGGGAAACCCUGAUGCAGCGACGCCGCGUGAGUGAAGAAGUAUUUCGGUAUGUAAAGCUCUAUCAGCAGGGAAGAAAAUGUCGGUACCUGACUAAGAAGCCCCGGCUAACUACGUGCCAGCAGCCGCGGUAAUACGUUAGGGGGCAAGCGUUAUCUGGAUUUACUGGGUGUAAAGGGAGCGUAGACGGUUGUGUAAGUAUGAUGUGAAAGCCCGGGGCUCAACCCCCGCACUGCAUUCGAAACUAUGUAACUAGAGUGUCGGAGAGGUAAGCGGAAUUCCUAGUGUAGCGGUGAAAUGAGUAGAUAUUAGGAGGAACACCAGUGGCGAAGGCGGCUUACUUGACGAUCACUGACGUUGAGGCUCGAAAGCGUGGGGAUCAAAAAGGAUUAGAAUACCCUGGUAGUCCACCCCGUAACGAUGACUACUAGGUGUCGGGGAGCAAAGCUCUUUCGGUGCCGCAGCAAACGCAAUAAGUAGUCCUCCUGGGGAGUACGUUCGCAAGAAUGAAACUCAAA
rnacentral:rRNA from 1 species